rnacentral:rRNA from 1 species
AAUCGUCAAGAUUGUCCUGAGAGUCGCAUGCAGUAGACCCGAAACCUGGUGAGCUACCCAUGGGCAGGAUGAAGUGCCGGUAACACGGCAUGGAGGACCGAACGCACAAAUGUUGCAAAAUUUGGCGAUGACCUGUGGGUAGGUGGUGAAAUGCCUAACGAACUGGGAGAUAGCUGGUUCUCCUCGAAAUAGCUCUAGGGCUAGCCUCACGACAAGACCGCAAGGUCGGAUAAAUCAACGCAGGUAAAGCACUGGCAUGGCUAGGGCGCGGUAAGCGUACCAACCCAUCUCAAACUCUGAAUGGCGUUGAGGAGCGUGGGAGUCGCACAGUGGGGGAUGAGCUUCAUUGUGGAAAGGGAAACAGCCCAGACCGUCAGUUAAGGUCCUUGAGUCGACGCUAAGUGGGAAACGAUGUGAGAAUACUUUGACAGCCAGGAGGUUGGCUUAGAAGCAGCCACCCUUUAAAGAGUGCGUAAUAGCUCACUGGUCAAGUGUUCUUGUGCGGAAAAUAUAACGGGGCUAAAGCGUCGCACCGAAACUGCGGAGUCAGACAUCUGAAAGAGGGUGUUGGCUGGUAGAGGAGCGUUGUUGAGCAGAGAAGGUCGACGGUGACGACGACUGGAGCGACAACAAGAGCGAAUGCUGGGAUGAGUAGCGAGAGCAGUGUGAAAAUCACUGCCGCCGUAAGUCUGAGGGUUCCGCCGCAAGGGUCAUCCGCGGCGGGUUAGUCGGGCCUAAGCCGAGGGCGAAAGCCGUAGGUGAUGGACAAUCGGUCAACAUUCCGAUACCAUCUCCAAGGACUGAGGGAGAGACGCAGAAGGAUAGCCGAGCCUGCCGAAUGGACAUGGCAGGUGCAAAGCGCCAAGAUGUGGAGGACUAUAGGCAAAUCCGUAGUCCGAGUCAAGGUGUAAGCGGUUCCGCAAGGACACAAGUCGGUGAGUUCAGGCUGACGAGAAAAUCUUCUAAAGGGUGAAUUGGAGAUGCCCGUACCGCAAACCGACACAGGUGGACGGCAUGAGCAAUGCAAGGCGAUCGGGAGAACCUCCGUUAAGGAACUAGGCAAAAUGCAUCCGUAACUUCGGGAGAAGGAUGGAUUUCUGUCGUUACAAGUAAUUGGAAGCGAUGGGAAUUCGCAGCGAAGCGGCUCUACUGACUGUUUAACAAAAACACAGGUCUCUGCAAAACCGUAAGGUGAAGUAUAGGGGCUGAUACCUGCCCAGUGCCGGAAGGUUAAGAGGAGGGGUUAGGGGAAUGGCAACAUUACCCGAGGCUCCGAAUCGAAGCCCCGGUGAACGGCGGCCGUAACUAUAACGGUCCUAAGGUAGCGAAAUUCCUUGUCGGGUAAGUUCCGACCCGCACGAAAGGUAUAACAAGUGGAGCGCUGUCUCAACGGGGGACCCGGCGAAAUUGAAUUAGUGGUGAAGAUGCCAUUUACCCGCAGUAGGACAAAAAGACCCCGUGGAGCUUUACUCUAACUUGGCACUGGAUGGGGGACAGUUGUGCGUAGGAUAGGUGGGAGCCUGAGAAACUGGGCUUGCGGGCUCGGUGGAGGCAACGUUGAAAUACCACCCUCAAGUGUUUUCGAUUCUAAUGGACUUCCGUAAGCCGGAAUCCAGACCAUGCCAGGCGGGGAGUUUGACUGGGGCGGUCGCCUCCUAAACGGUAACGGAGGCGCCCAAAGGUGCGCUCAGGCUGAAUGGAAACCAGCCGCAGAGUGUAAAGGCACAAGCGCGCUUGACUGUGAGAGUUACAACUCGAACAGAGACGAAAGUCGGGCUUAGUGAUCUCACGCAAUGUGUGUGGAAACGGCGUGACUUAUCGGACAAAAGCUACCCCGGGGAUAACAGGCUGGUGAAGCCCAAGCGUUCACAGCGACGGCUUCGCUCGGCACCUCGAUGUCGGCUCGUCGCAUCCUGGGGCUGGAAUAGGUCCCAAGGGUUGGGCUGUUCGCCCAUUAAAGCGGCACGCGAGCUGGGUUCAGAACGUCGUGAGACAGUUCGGU